rnacentral:rRNA from 1 species
GACGAACGCUGGCGGCGUGCUUAACACAUGCAAGUCGAACGGAAAGGCCCUGCUUUUGUGGGGUGCUCGAGUGGCGAACGGGUGAGUAACACGUGAGUAACCUGCCCUUGACUUUGGGAUAACUUCAGGAAACUGGGGCUAAUACCGGAUAGGAGCUCCUGCUGCAUGGUGGGGGUUGGAAAGUUUCGGCGGUUGGGGAUGGACUCGCGGCUUAUCAGCUUGUUGGUGGGGUAGUGGCUUACCAAGGCUUUGACGGGUAGCCGGCCUGAGAGGGUGACCGGCCACAUUGGGACUGAGAUACGGCCCAGGCUCCUACGGGAGGCAGCAGUGGGGAAUAUUGCACAAUGGGCGGAAGCCUGAUGCAGCAACGCCGCGUGCGGGAUGACGGCCUUCGGGUUGUAAGCCGCUUUCGCCUGUGACGAAGCGUGAGUGACGGUAAUGGGUAAAGAAGCACCGGCUAACUACGUGCCAGCAGCCGCGGUGAUACGUAGGGUGCGAGCGUUGUCCGGAUUUAUUGGGCGUAAAGGGCUCGUAGGUGGUUGAUCGCGUCGGAAGUGUAAUCUUGGGGCUUAACCCUGAGCGUGCUUUCGAUACGGGUUGACUUGAGGAAGGUAGGGGAGAAUGGAAUUCCUGGUGGAGCGGUGGAAUGCGCAGAUAUCAGGAGGAACACCAGUGGCGAAGGCGGUUCUCUGGGCCUUUCCUGACGCUGAGGAGCGAAAGCGUGGGGAGCGAACAGGCUUAGAUACCCUGGUAGUCCACGCUGUAAACGGUGGGUACUAGGUGUGGGGUCCAUUCCACGGGUUCCGUGCCGUAGCUAACGCUUUAAGUACCCCGCCUGGGGAGUACGGCCGCAAGGCUAAAACUCAAAGGAAUUGACGGGGCCCCGCACAAGCGGCGGAGCAUGCGGAUUAAUUCGAUGCAACGCGUAGAACCUUACCUGGGUUUGACAUGGAUCGGGAGUGCUCAGAGAUGGGUGUGCCUCUUUUGGGGUCGGUUCACAGGUGGUGCAUGGCUGUCGUCAGCUCGUGUCGUGAGAUGUUGGGUUAAGUCCCGCAACGAGCGCAACCCUUGUUCACUGUUGCCAGCACGUUAUGGUGGGGACUCAGUGGAGACCGCCGGGGUCAACUCGGAGGAAGGUGGGGAUGACGUCAAGUCAUCAUGCCCCUUAUGUCCAGGGCUUCACGCAUGCUACAAUGGCUGGUACAGAGAGUGGCGAGCCUGUGAGGGUGAGCGAAUCUCGGAAAGCCGGUCUCAGUUCGGAUUGGGGUCUGCAACUCGACCUCAUGAAGUCGGAGUCGCUAGUAAUCGCAGAUCAGCAACGCUGCGGUGAAUACGUUCCCGGGGCU